rnacentral:rRNA from 1 species
GACGAACGCUGGCGGCGUGCUUAACACAUGCCAGUCGAACGGAAAGGCCUGCUUUCCCUUGUGGAUUGCGGGUACUCGAGUGGCGAACGGGUGAGUAACACGUGAGUGAUCUGCCCCCAACUUGGGUAUAAGCCUGGGAAACUGGGUCUAAUUCCCGAUAGGACUGCAGGGUGGUGCCUGUGGUGGAAAACGAUUUUCUAGUGGUUGGGGAUGAGCUCGCGGCCUAUCGGCUUGUUGGUGGGGUAAUGGCCUACCAAGGCGGCGACGGGUAGCCGGCCUGGGAGGGUGGACGGCCACAUUGGGACUGAGAUACGGCCCAGACUCCUACGGGAGGCAGCAGUGGGGAAUAUUGCACGAUGGGCGGAAGCCUGAUGCAGCGACGCCGCGUGGAGGAUGACGGCCUUCGGGUUGUAAACUCCUUUCGACCGCGAGGAAGCCACCUGGUUGGAAGGGUGGUGACGGUAGUGGUAGAAGAAGCACCGGCUAACUACGUG